rnacentral:rRNA from 1 species
UACAGAGGUGGCAAGCGUUGUUCGGAAUUACUGGGCGUAAAGGGCGCGAUAGGCGGUCUUGGCAAGUCCCGUGUGAAAUCCCUCGGCUCAACUGAGGAACUGCGACGGGAAACUGCUUGGCUUGAGUUCGGGAGAGGGAAGCGGAAUUCCAGGUGUAGCGGUGAAAGUGCGUAGAGUAUCUGGAGGAACACCGGUGGCGAAGGCGGGUCUCU